UUGGACUCAAACUUUUCCCCAAAAAUUUAGAAAAUCCCUAAAGACCAAAUCUUCCCCCCCUAAAAAUUUAAAGCCCAAUACUAAUUUCCCCUCCCCACGAAAUAAAAACUGAAACCCUUCCCUCAAUUCCCUUUACGUCACGGCGGCCUAACUUCUCCCUACCUCCCUUUUUCAGUUUUUCUUAUCUUUCUCUCUCUUGUGCUUGAAUUUUAUGUAUGCUAGUUUCUCUUUUUAUUUACUUUUUCUUUUGUAGGUUUUACAAAGUGGAAUCUUGAAAGAGAUGAAUUAGAUGAAUUGCAUAAUAUGGUUGCUGCGUUGAAUCAUAUUGUUGUGAAUGUUAAGGUAAUAUUCAAUUCUAGUUUUCUAUGUUAAGGACCAUGUGGUUGGAAAAAUAGCACUUGUUCAUCUUCAUUAGAAGUUACAUGCAAAAAUAAGAGUCAAGAAGAGAAGUCUUAGAGUGGGAAGGCUCGCCAUAGAGAUUCCAAUUGCUGCUUCGUAUGAAGGCUCGCCAAGUGACCAUCAAUCAAUCAAUGUUCUUGUAGUCACUAGUCACCAUUAGAGUUUAUUCAUAGUAUGUAGCAAUCUUAGCAUGAUAGGAGAAUUUUGUAUUUCUUGAGUAACAUUAUUUAAUGGUGUUAUGAGAUUUAUAAAAAUAUAGUUUGUCGGAGUGAUUCUUUUAUUUCAAUUCAAAAUUCUUUUGUAGUGUAUGACUUGUAUAUCGAAAUUAUUUGAAUGAUUAUGGUAUUAGAGUA